AACGAACGCUGGCGGCAGGCUUAACACAUGCAAGUCGAGCGGGCCCUUCGGGGUCAGCGGCAGACGGGUGAGUAACACGUGGGAACGUACCCUUUGGUUCGGAACAACUCCGGGAAACUGGAGCUAAUACCGGAUAAGCCCUUAGGGGGUAAGAUUUAUCGCCACAGGAUCGGCCCGCGUCUGAUUGGCUGGUUGGUGGGGUAAUGGCCCACCAAGGCGUCGAUCAGUAGCUGGUCUGAGGGGAUGAUCAGCCACACUUGGACUGAGACACGGCCCAGACUCCUACGGAAUGGAGGAGAGGGUAAUAUUGGAGCACGGGGGCAAGGCUGAUAGAGCCAUGCCGGGUGAGUGAUGAAGGCCGUAGGGUAGUAAAGCUCUUUUGUCCGGGAAGAUAAUGACUGUACCGGAAGAAUAAGCCCCGGCUAACUACGUG
rnacentral:rRNA from 1 species